rnacentral:rRNA from 1 species
GCUCGUUGUGGGGAGGCGGCCGGGGUGAGCGGUGGGGGGCGAGGGUUGGCCGGAAUUAUGGGGCUGAAAGGGCGCGUGGGCGGGGGGUGGCGUCGGAGGUGAAAGCCCGGGGCUGAAGUCCGGGUCUGCAGUCGAUACGGGCAGGCUAGAGUUCGGUAGGGGAGAUCGGAAUUCCUGGUGUAGCGGUGAAAUGCGCAGAUAUCAGGAGGAACACCGGUGGCGAAGGCGGAUCUCUGGGCCGAUACUGACGCUGAGGAGCGAAAGCGUGGGGAGCGAACAGGAUUAGAUACCCGUGUAGUC